rnacentral:rRNA from 1 species
GGACGGGUGAGUAAUGCCUAGGAAAUUGCCUUGAUGUGGGGGAUAACCAUUGGAAACGAUGGCUAAUACCGCAUGAUGCCUACGGGCCAAAGAGGGGGACCUUCGGGCCUCUCGCGUCAAGAUAUGCCUAGGUGGGAUUAGCUAGUUGGUGAGGUAAUGGCUCACCAAGGCGACGAUCCCUAGCUGGUCUGAGAGGAUGAUCAGCCACACUGGAACUGAGACACGGUCCAGACUCCUACGGGAGGCAGCAGUGGGGAAUAUUGCACAAUGGGCGAAAGCCUGAUGCAGCCAUGCCGCGUGUAUGAAGAAGGCCUUCGGGUUGUAAAGUACUUUCAGUUGUGAGGAAGGGUGUGUAGUUAAUAGCUGCGCAUCUUGACGUUAGCAACAGAAGAAGCACCGGCUAACUCCGUGCCAGCAGCCGCGGUAAUACGGAGGGUGCGAGCGUUAAUCGGAAUUACUGGGCGUAAAGCGCAUGCAGGUGGUUCAUUAAGUCAGAUGUGAAAGCCCGGGGCUCAACCUCGGAACUGCAUUUGAAACUGGUGAACUAGAGUANUGUAGAGGGGGGUAGAAUUUCAGGUGUAGCGGUGAAAUGCGUAGAGAUCUGAAGGAAUACCAGUGGCGAAGGCGGCCCCCUGNNCAGANACUGACACUCAGAUGCGAAAGCGUGGGGAGCAAACNGGAUUAGAUACCCUGGNAGUCCACGCCGUAAACGAUGNCUACU